CAGCAGCGCGGUAAUACAGAGGGUGCGAGCGUUAAUCGGAUUUACUGGGCGUAAAGCGUGCGUAGGCGGCUUCUUAAGUCGGAUGUGAAAUCCCUGAGCUUAACUUAGGAAUUGCAUUCGAUACUGGGAAGCUAGAGUAUGGGAGAGGAUGGUAGAAUUCCAGGUGUAGCGGUGAAAUGCGUAGAGAUCUGGAGGAAUACCGAUGGCGAAGGCAGCCAUCUGGCCUAAUACUGACGCUGAGGUACGAAAGCAUGGGGAGCAAACAGGAUUAGAUACCCCGGUAGUCCCUGUCUCUAUACAC
rnacentral:rRNA from 1 species